rnacentral:rRNA from 1 species
AUUGAACGCUGGCGGCAUGCCUAACACAUGCAAGUCGAACGGUAACAGGGGCUUCGGCCCGCUGACGAGUGGCGGACGGGUGAGUAAUACGUAGGAAUCUACCUUUUAGUGGGGGAUAACUUAGGGAACUUAAGCUAAUACCGCAUAAUCACUACGGUGGAAAGCAGGGGCGUCGCAAGACCUUGCGCUGAUAGAUGAGCCUACGUCGGAUUAGCUUGUUGGUAGGGUAAAGGCCUACCAAGGCGACGAUCCGUAGCUAGUCUGAGAGGACGACCAG